rnacentral:rRNA from 1 species
GAUGAACGCUGGCGGCGUGCCUAAUACAUGCAAGUCGAGCGAACAGACGAGGAGCUUGCUCCUCUGACGUUAGCGGCGGACGGGUGAGUAACACGUGGAUAACCUACCUAUAAGACUGGGAUAACUUCGGGAAACCGGAGCUAAUACCGGAUAAUAUAUUGAACCGCAUGGUUCAAUAGUGAAAGACGGUUUUGCUGUCACUUAUAGAUGGAUCCGCGCCGCAUUAGCUAGUUGGUAAGGUAACGGCUUAGCAAGGCAACGAUGCGUAGCCGACCUGAGAGGGUGAUCGGCCACACUGGAACUGAGACACGGUCCAGACUCCUACGGGAGGCAGCAGUAGGGAAUCUUCCGCAAUGGGCGAAAGCCUGACGGAGCAACGCCGCGUGAGUGAUGAAGGUCUUCGGAUCGUAAAACUCUGUUAUUCGGGAAGAACAAAUGUGUAAGUAGCUAUGCACGUCUUGACGGUACCUAAUCAGAAAGCCACGGCUAACUACGUG